AUUGAACGCUGGCGGCAGGCCUAACACAUGCAAGUCGAGCGGAUGAAGGGAGCUUGCUCCUGGAUUCAGCGGCGGACGGGUGAGUAAUGCCUAGGAAUCUGCCUGGUAGUGGGGGAUAACGUCCGGACACGGGCGCUAAUACCGCAUACGUCCUGAGGGAGAAAGUGGGGGAUCUUCGGACCUCACGCUAUCAGAUGAGCCUAGGUCGUAUUAGCUAGUUGGUGGGGUAAAGGCCUACCAAGGCGACGAUCCGUAACUGGUCUGAGAGGAUGAUCAGUCACACUGGAACUGAGACACGGUCCAGACUCCUACGGGAGGCAGCAGUGGGGAAUCUUGGACAAUGGGCGAAAGCCUGAUCCAGCCAUGCCGCGUGUGUGAAGAAGGUCUUCGGAUUGUAAAGCACUUUAAGUUGGGAGGAAGGGCAGUAAGUUAAUACCUGGCUGUUUUGACGUUACCAACAGAAUAAGCACCGGCUAACUUCGUG
rnacentral:rRNA from 1 species